rnacentral:rRNA from 1 species
AAAUUGAAGAGUUUGAUCAUGGCUCAGAUUGAACGCUGGCGGCAGGCCUAACACAUGCAAGUCGAACGGUAACAGGAAACAGCUUGCUGUUUCGCUGACGAGUGGCGGACGGGUGAGUAAUGUCUGGGAAACUGCCUGAUGGAGGGGGAUAACUACUGGAAACGGUAGCUAAUACCGCAUAACGUCGCAAGACCAAAGAGGGGGACCUUCGGGCCUCUUGCCAUCGGAUGUGCCCAGAUGGGAUUAGCUAGUAGGUGGGGUAACGGCUCACCUAGGCGACGAUCCCUAGCUGGUCUGAGAGGAUGACCAGCCACACUGGAACUGAGACACGGUCCAGACUCCUACGGGAGGCAGCAGUGGGGAAUAUUGCACAAUGGGCGCAAGCCUGAUGCAGCCAUGCCGCGUGUAUGAAGAAGGCCUUCGGGUUGUAAAGUACUUUCAGCGGGGAGGAAGGGAGUAAAGUUAAUACCUUUACUCAUUGACGUUACCC